CCAGACUCCUACGGGAGGCAGCAGUGGGGAAUAUUGCACAAUGGGGGAAACCCUGAUGCAGCGACGCCGCGUGAGUGAAGAAGUAUCUCGGUAUGUAAAGCUCUAUCAGCAGGGAAGAAAAUGACAGUACCUGACCAAGAAGCCCCGGCUAACUACGUGCCAGCAGCCGCGGUAAUACGUAGGGGGCAAGCGUUAUCCGGAUUUACUGGGUGUAAAGGGAGCGUAGACGGCAGUGCAAGUCCGGAGUGAAAGCCCGGGGCUCAACCCUGGGACUGCUCUGGAAACUGUAAAGCUGGAGUGCGGGAGGGGAAGGCGGAAUUCCUGGUGUAGCGGUGAAAUGCGUAGAUAUCAGGAGGAACACCGGCGGCGAAGGCGGCCUGCUGGACCGUAACUGACGUUGAGGCUCGAAGGCGUGGGGAGCAAACAGGAUUAGAUACCCCCGUAGA
rnacentral:rRNA from 1 species